GUUAUGACCAAUGAUAUCUCGGGUGUGAACCUUGAAGAAGUAGUCCCUUGCAUUGCACUCUCAAAAAAUGACUUGUACGUUUUGUCUGCCUGUGGUGGGAAGGUUUCCCUAUUUAACAUGAUGACAUUCAAGGUAAUGACAACAUUCAUGCCACCACCUCCUGCUUCUACCUUCCUAGCUUUCCAUCCCCAGGAUAACAACAUUAUUGCGAUUGGGAUGGAGGAUUCUACCAUUCACAUCUAUAGUGUCAGAGUGGAUGAGGGUCACCAGAAGCGUAUCACUGGUUUCAUCUGGUGUUGAUGCUCAACAUUGAUACAUGGGAGAAAAGAAAAUCAAUUCCAAUGCAACUACCUGCAGGAAAGUCACCUGUUGGUGACACACGCGUAUAGUUUCAUUCUGAUCAACUUCGUUUGUUGGUAAUUCAUGAGACUCAGUUGGCAAUAUAUGAUGCCUCUAAGAUGGAACGCAUUCGGCAGUGGGUUCCCCAAGAUGUUCUGCAAAUAUUCAGUAUGUAAGAGGAUUUGAAGUUGUGGAUGAGAUCAAGCAAGUUGUGGACUAAUCAUGUGGAAAACCAGUCGUUUCAUGUGCAGACAUAUUGGCUAUUGUCGCUCGUGAUUCUGUUUUUUGCGAUGAGUAAUUAAUGGAUUCAUUAUUAC